GAUGAAGAACGUAGCGAAAUGCGAUAAGUAAUGUGAAUUGCAGAAUUCAGUGAAUCAUCGAAUCUUUGAACGCACCUUGCGCCCUUUGGACUUCUGAAGGGCAUGCCUGUUUGAGUAUCAUGAACACCUCAACUCCUUAUGGUCUUCCAUGAUGAGCUUGGACUUUGGGGGUUUUGCUGGCCUACAGUCAGCUCCUCUAAAAUAAAUCAGCUUACCGGUGUUUGGUGGGUAUCAUGGGUGUGAUAACUAUCUACGCUCGUGGUUUUCCACCAGGUAACCUUCAGCAGUGGAGGUUCACUGGAGCUCAUAGAUGUCUCUCCUCAGCGAGGACAGCCCUUUGAAUGUUUGAUCUCAAAUCAUGUAGGACUACCCGCUGAACUUAAGCAUAUCAAUAAGCGGAGGA
rnacentral:misc_RNA from 1 species